rnacentral:rRNA from 1 species
GAGUUGCGAACGGGUGAGUAACGCGUAGGUAACCUGCCUGGUAGCGGGGGAUAACUAUUGGAAACGAUAGCUAAUACCGCAUAAUAGCAGUUGUUGCAUGACAACUGUUUGAAAGGUGCAAUUGCACCACUACCAGAUGGACCUGCGUUGUAUUAGCUAGUAGGUGAGGUAACGGCUCACCUAGGCGACGAUACAUAGCCGACCUGAGAGGGUGAUCGGCCACACUGGGACUGAGACACGGUCCAGACUCC